rnacentral:rRNA from 1 species
UACGAAGGGGGGCGAAUGUUAUCCUUGAUGAUUGGGCGUAAAGAGUGUUUAGACUGUAUUAAUUGUUUUUACUAAAAAAUUAAAGUAACAUUUAAAGGUGCUAAAAAUACAUUUUUACUAGAGUAAAGUAGAGGUGGGUAGUUAUUUUAUUUCUAAGAGUAAAAUCCGCAGUUACAAAGGAAUGUCGUUGGCUGAUGCAGCUUUCCAAAAUUUACUGACGUUGUCAAACGAAGGCUUUGGUAUCAAACAGG